GGGUCACAAAAGAAAUCUGAAGAAACUCUUCUCCUCAAGCACUGCUGAAUUUUAUUUACUUGUAAUCUCUUUCCUGGCUCCUAGGCUGAUACUGGUUGCUCCUCCUGAUUGGGCUUUCCUUCGUUUCUGUAGUUAAUAUUUUGAUGAAACCUAGAGCAAACAUGUAACGCGUGUAAUUGCACAGAAGAGGAUGAGAGUGAUUUUGCCAGCACUGCACUUCUUGAGUGCUUUUUUCUCAGUGCUACAUUUGCUCCCUUGGACAACCAGGUGACCCCGUCCAAGGUUAAGCAUGAAUCCCCGAGGAAGAGCUAUGCACUAUGCUCCACAACAGGAGCAACGCCUCUCUGUGACUUGAGUGAAGGUAAGAGCUUUAUUAUUUCACACGCUCUGUGCAUGGGUUCACCACAUACACCCCUCUCUUUCUCAUAAACUCACUGCAUGCUGAGCAGCAAAAAGGAAAAGUUAAGUGGAAA
rnacentral:lncRNA from 1 species